CCUACGGGUGGCAGCAGUGAGGAAUAUUGGUCAAUGGCCGGAAGGCUGAACCAGCCAUGCCGCGUGAAGGUCAGUGCCCUAUGGGCGUUAAACUUCUUUUGUGCGGGAGCAAUAAUGGUCACGUGUGGCCAGACGAGAGUACCGUACGAAUAAGCAUCGGCUAACUCCGUGCCAGCAGCCGCGGUAAUACGGGGGAUGCAAGCGUUAUCCGGAUUUAUUGGGUUUAAAGGGUGCGUAGGCUGUGAGGUAAGUCAGCGGUGAAAUGCCCCCGCUCAACGGGGUGAAGUGCCAUUGAUACUGCCUGGCUGGAAUGCGGAUGCCGUGGGAGGAAUGUGUGGUGUAGCGGUGAAAUGCAUAGAGAUCACACAGAACACCGAUUGCGAAGGCAUCUCACGAAUCCGCGAUUGACGCUGAUGCACGAAAGCGUGGGUAUCAAACAGGAUUAGAUACCCUAGUAGUC
rnacentral:rRNA from 1 species